ensembl:lncRNA
GUUACCCCUUAUAUUUUAUUUGACAAAGACAACAAUGUGACCCCUUAUUUUUUUUUCAUGACGACCAAUUAAAAACAACAGUGUUACCCCUUAUGUUUUUUUCAUGACGACCGAUAAAAAACGACAGUGAUACCCCUUGUGUUUUUAUUCAUGACGACCAAUAAAAAACAACAGCGGUUACCCCUUAUGUUUUUUUUCAUGACGACCGAUAAAAAACGACAGUGUUACCCCUUGUUUUUUUCAUGACGACCAAAAAAAAACGACAGUGUCACCCCUCAUGUUUCAUUUGAUGAAAACGACAGUGUUACCCCCUAUGUUUUAUUCGAUACAUUUCGACAGUGUUACCCCCUAUGUUUUUUUCCCAUGAUGACUGAUGAAAAACAACAGUGUUACCCCUUAUGUUUUAUUUGACAGGGAAUUUUUUUUAUAUAACUCCUCCCCCGUCACAGGUAGGGAUAAAAAAGAGGUUAUAACUCCUCCCCCGUCACAGGUAGAGAUAGAGGGAGAUAUUAUAACUCCUCCCCCGUCCGAGGUAGGGAUACAGAGAGAUUAUAACUCCUCCCCCGUCAAAGGUGGGGAUACAAAGAGAUUAUAACUCCUCCCCCGUCACAGGUAGGGAUACAGAGGUGAUAACUCCUCCCCCGUCACAGGUAGCAAUACAAAGAGGUUAUAACUCCUCCCCCGUCACAGGUAGGGACUGAUAAAAAACCUCAGUGUUACCCCUUAUAUUUUUUUUGACAAAGACAACAGUGUUACCCCUUAUGUUUUUCUUCAUGACGACCAAUAAAAAAAACAGUGUUACCCCUUGUGUUUUUUUUCAUGACAACCAAUCAAAAACAACAGUGUUACUUUUUUUCAUGACGACCAAAGAAAAAUGACAGUCACCCCUCAUGUUUCAUUUGAUAAAAACGACAGCGUUACCCCUUAUGUUUUUUUCAUGACGACCGAUAAAAAACGACAGUGUUACCCCUUAUGUUUCAUUUGAUAAAAACGACAGUGUUACCCCUCAUGUUUGAUUUGAUUAAAACGACAGUGUUACCCUUGUGUUUUUUUUCAUGACGACCAAAGAAAAACAACAGUGUUACCCCUUAUGUUUUUUUUCAUGACGACCAAUAAAAAACAACAGUGGUACCCCUUAUUUAUUUCUUCAUGACGACCAAUAAAAAACGACAGUGUUACCCCUUAUGUUUUUCUUCAUGACAACCAAUAAAAAACAACAGUGUUACCCCUUGUGUUUUUUUUCAUGAUGACCAAUCGAAAACAACAGUGUUACCCCUUAUGGUAUUUUUCAUGACGACCAAAGAAAAAUGACAGUGUCACCCCUCAUGUUUCAUUUGAUAAAAACGACAGUGUUACC